rnacentral:lncRNA from 1 species
AAUUUUGUUUGCGAUACGGAGUUCUUUGCGAUAUUUGAUGCUGACAAAGAAGUUGUUUGGUUAUGAAAGUUCAUCAGCGAGCUUGAAGUGGCACCUUCCAUUGAUGGUCUGGUCCUUCUGUAUUGACAGUAACAUUGGAGCCAUAGUUCAAGCUGAAGAACUGAUGUUUUAUCUAAGAACCAAAUACUUUCUGCAUUGCAAUCAUCUUAUCUGAAAAGAUUGAGGUAAAGUCAACUUUAAGAAGAUCGACUGAAAGGAGAACUUGGCCAACCCAUUGACUAGAGCAAUCGGAUCUAAGGAGUUCGAUGAUCACAAAUGGAAGACGGAUAUUUGAUACCGAUCUGAUUGGCUUUAGUCCAAGUGGGAGUUAUUGGAAAAUGUAUUCUAAAGUCAAUCAUUUAGGUUGUAGAUGAUUGCACUCCAUGAUAUAUAUGAAUUAUAA